rnacentral:hammerhead_ribozyme from 1 species
AUCCAGUUGACGAGUCCCAAAUAGGACGAACGGAGUGUCCUUGAU